CCUACGGGAGGCUGCCGUGAGGAAUCUUGGUCAAUGGGCGUAAGCCUGAACCAGCCACGUCGCGUGAGGGAUGAAGGUUCUAGGGAUCGUAAACCUCUUUUAUAAGGGAAUAAAGUGCGGGACGUGUCCCGUUUUGUAUUUACCUUCUGAAUAAUGAACAGCUAACUCCGUGCCAGCAGCCGCGGUAAUACGUAGGUGGCGAGCGUUAGUCGGAUUUACUGGGGGUAAAGGGAGAGUAGACGGUUCGCCAAGUCAGGUGGGAAAUGCCGCACCUUAACAGCGGAAGUGCUUGUGAAACUGGCGAUCUAGAGUGCAGGAUGGGUAAGCGGAAUUACUAGGGUAGCGGUGAAAUGCGUAGAUAUUAGGAGGAACACCGGUGGCGAAGGCGGCUUACUGGACAGUAACUGACGUUGAGGCUCGAAAGCGUGGGGAGCAAACAGGAUUAGAUACCCCGGUAGUC
rnacentral:rRNA from 1 species